rnacentral:rRNA from 1 species
AUACAGAGGGCCCGAGCGUUAAUCAGAAUUACUGGGCUUAAAGCGUGCGCAGGCGGUCCAGAAAGUAUCUCGUGAAAUCCCUCGGCUCAACCGGGGAACUGCGGGGUAAACUUCUGGACUUGAGAAAGGUAGGGGCUGAUGGAACCAUGAGUGGAGCGGUGAAAUGCGUAGAUAUUCAUGGGAACGCCGAUGGGGAAGCCGAUCAGCUGGGCCUUUUCUGACGCUCAUGUACGAAAGCGUGGGGAGCAAACAGGAUUAGAAACCCUAGUAGUCC